GAUGGGAGCUUGCUCCCUGAUAUCAGCGGCGGACGGGUGUAGUAACACGUGGGUAACCUGCCUGUAAGACUGGGAUAACUCCGGGAAACCGGGGCUAAUACCGGAUAACUCAUUUCCUCGCAUGAGGAAAUGUUGAAAGGUGGCUUCUGGUAACACUUACCGAUGGGCCCGCGGCGCAUUAACUAAUUGGUGAAGUAACGGCUCACCAAGGGAACGAUGCGUAACCCAACUGAAAGGGUGAUCGGCCACCCUGGGACUGAAACACCGCCCAAAAUCCUACGGGAGGGAACAAUAAGGAAUCUUCCGCAAUGGACCAAAGUCUGACGGAACAACCCCCCGUGGGUGAUGAAGGUUUUCGGAUCGUAAAGCUCUGGUGGUAAGGAAAAACCAGUGGCGUUCCAAUAAGGCGGCACCUUGGCGGUACCUAACCAGAAAGCCACGGGUAACUACGUGCCCACAGCCGCGGUAAUACCUAAGUGGGAAGCGUUGUCCGGAAUUAAUGGGCGUAAAGCGCGCGCAAGUGGUUCCUUAAGUCUGAUGGGAAAGCCCACGGCUCCACCGUGGAGGGUCAUUGGAAACUGGGGAAACUGAGUGGCAAAAAGAAAGCGGAAUUCCCAG
rnacentral:rRNA from 1 species